rnacentral:rRNA from 1 species
CCUACGGGGGGCAGCAGUGGGGAAUAUUGGACAAUGGGGGGAACCCUGAUCCAGCCAUGCCACGUGUGUGAAGAAGGCCCGCGGGUUGUAAAGCACUUUCAGUGAGGAAGAACGCCUGGUGGUUAAUACCCAUCAGGAAAGACAUCACUCACAGAAGAAGCACCGGCUAACUCCGUGCCAGCAGCCGCGGUAAUACGGAGGGUGCGAGCGUUAAUCGGAAUUACUGGGCGUAAAGCGCGCGUAGGUGGCUUGAUAAGCCGGUUGUGAAAGCCCCGGGCUCAACCUGGGAACGGCAUCCGGAACUGGCAAGCUAGAGUGCAGGAGAGGAAGGUAGAAUUCCCGGUGUAGCGGUGAAAUGCGUAGAGAUCGGGAGGAAUACCAGUGGCGAAGGCGGCCUUCUGGACUGACACUGACACUGAGGUGCGAAAGCGUGGGUAGCAAACAGGAUUAGAUACCCUGGUAGUC